rnacentral:rRNA from 1 species
GGCUCAGAACGAACGCUGGCGGCGUGGAUAAGGCAUGCAAGUCGAACGAUCUUCUAGAAGAAGAUAGUGGCAGAAGGGUUAGUAACGCGUUGGUAAUCUACCUUCGAGUGGGGGAUAACCUUCCGAAAGGAGGGCUAAUACCCCAUGACAUUUCGGUUCCGCAUGGAACUGAAAUCAAAGGUGGCUCGCAAGGGCUGCCGCUUGAAGAUGAACCCGCGUCCUAUCAGCUAGUUGGUGAGGUAACGGCUCACCAAGGCAUUUGACGGGUAGCUGGACUGAGAGGUCGGUCAGCAACACUGGGACUGAGACACUGCCCAGACUCCUACGGGAGGCUGCAGUCGAGGAUCUUUAUCAAUGCCCGAAAGGGUGAAUAUGCGACGCCGCGUGCAGGACGAAGGCCUUCGGGUUGUAAACUGCUGUCAGGGGUGAGGAAAAGCCAUAUGUUAACAGCAUGUGGUCUUGACGUUAACCCCAAAGGAAGCCACGGCUAACUCUGUGCCAGCAGCCGCGGUAAUACAGAGGUGGCGAGCGUUGUUCGGAUUUAUUGGGUGUAAAGGGCAGGUAGGUGGUCAUGUAAGUCCGCUGUGAAAUCCCAGGGCUCAACCCUGGAACUGCAGUAGAAACUACACGACUUGAGUACUGGAGAGGUGAGGGGAAUUCUCGGUGUAAGGGUGAAAUCUGUAGAUAUCGAGAGGAAUACCAGUGGCGAAGGCGCCUCACUGGCCAGUAACUGACACUGAGCUGCGAAAGCAAGGGGAGCAAACAGGAUUAGAUACCCUGGUAGUCCUUGCCGUAAACGAUGUGGAUUGGGUGUUGGGAGUGUCGAUCCUCUCAAUGCCGAAGUUAACACAUUAAAUCCACCACCUGGGGAGUACGGUCGCAAGACUGAAACUCAAAGGAAUUGACGGGGACCCGCACAAGCGGUGGAGCAUGUGGUUUAAUUCGAGGCUACGCGAAGAACCUUACCUAGGCUUGACAUGCUAGCAGUAGGCUUGAUGAAAGUCGGGCCGAUCGUAUCCAAUCGAAGGCUAGCACAGGUGCUGCAUGGCUGUCGUCAGCUCGUGCUGUGAAGUGUUGGGUUAAGUCCCGCAACGAGCGCAACCAUUGCCCUUAGUUGCCAUCAGGUUAAGCUGGGCACUCUAAGGGGACUGCCAGUGAUAAACUGGAGGAAGGUGGAGAUGAUGUCAAGUCAGCAUGGCCCUUACGCCUAGGGCUACACACGUGCUACAAUGGCCGGUACAAAGGGACGCAAACCCGCGAGGGGGAGCAAAUCCCAAAAAGCCGGCCCCAGUUCGGAUUGUAGGCUGCAAUUCGCCUGCAUGGAGUCGGAAUCGCUAGUAAUGGCGCAUCAGAUACGGCGCCGUGAAUACGUUCCCGGGUCUUGUACACACCGCCCGUCAAGCCACCUGAAUCGAGGGUACCCGAAAUCGCUGAUCCAACCCGCAAGGGGGGAAGGCGCUGAAGGUAAAAUCGGUGAGGAGGGCUAAGUCGUAACAAGGUA